AUUGAACGUUGGCGGCGUGGAUUAGGCAUGCAAGUCGAGCGCGAACCCCGCAAGGGGUGAAAGCGGCGAAAGGGAGAGUAACGCGUGGGUAUUUACCCUCGGGACUGGGAUAGCUGCGGGAAACUGCAGGUAAUACCAGAUGACGUCCCCGGACCAAAGGUGUGAUUCCGCCUGAGGAUAAGCCCGCGUCCUAUUAGCUAGUUGGUGAGGUAAUGGCUCACCAAGGCAAUGAUGGGGACUGGGUGUGAGAGCACGGCCCAGCGCACUGGGACUGAGACACUGCCCAGACACCUACGGGUGGCUGCAGUCGGGAAUCGUCGGCAAUGGGCGCAAGCCUGACCGAGCGACGCCGCGUGUGGGAUGAAGGCCUUCGGGUUGUAAACCGCUGUCAGAGGGGAGGAAUGGGCGGAGGGUAAUCUCUUCGUCUUGACCUAUCCUCGGAGGAAGUACGGGCUAAGUUCGUGCCAGCAGCCGCCGUAA
rnacentral:rRNA from 1 species